rnacentral:rRNA from 1 species
UACGUAGGGGGCUAGCGUUGUCCGGAAUCAUUGGGCGUAAAGAGCGUGUAGGCGGCCCGGUAAGUCCGCUGUGAAAGUCGGGGGCUCAACCCUCGGAUGCCGGUGGAUACUGUCGGGCUAGAGUGCGGAAGAGGCGAGUGGAAUUCCCGGUGUAGCGGUGAAAUGCGCAGAUAUCGGGAGGAACACCUAUGGCGAAGGCAGCUCGCUGGGACGUUACUGACGCUGAGACGCGAAAGCGUGGGGAGCAAACAGG